GUAGGUGGCAAGCGUUGUCCGGAAUUAUUGGGCGUAAAGCGCGCGCAGGCGGUUCUUUAAGUCUGAUGUGAAACGCCCACGGCUCAACCGUGGAGGGUCAUUGGAAACUGGAGAACUUGAGUACAGAAGAGGAAAGCGGAAUUCCACGUGUAGCGGUGAAAUGCGUAGAGAUGUGGAGGAACACCAGUGGCGAAGGCGGCUUUUCUGGUCUGUAACUGACGCUGAGGCGCGAAAGCGUGGGGAGCAAACAGGGAUUAGAUACCCUGGUAGUCCACGCCGUAAACGAUGAGUGCUAAGUGUAGGGGGGUUUCCGCCCCCUUAGUGCUGCAGCUAACGCAUUAAGCACUCCGCCUGGGGAUACGGCCGCAAGGCUG
rnacentral:rRNA from 1 species